UACAGAGACUGCAAGCGUUAUUCGGAUUCACUGGGCGUAAAGGGUGCGCAGGCGGUCGGGUGUGUCAGAUGUGAAAUCCCGAGGCUCAACCUCGGAACUGCGUCUGAAACUACUCGACUAGAGUACUGGAGAGGGUAACGGAAUUCACGGUGUAGCAGUGAAAUGCGUAGAUAUCGAUGAGGAACACCAGAGGCGAAGGCGGUUACCUGGACAGUUACUGACGCUCAGGCACGAAAGCAUGGGGAGCAAACAGG
rnacentral:rRNA from 1 species